UACGAAGGGGGCUAGCGUUGCUCGGAUUGACUGGGCGUAAAGGGCGCGUAGGCGGUUCGUACAGUCAGACGUGAAAUUCCUGGGCUCAACCUGGGGGCUGCGUUUGAUACGUGCGGACUUGAGUGCGGAAGAGGGUCGUGGAAUUCCCAGUGUAGAGGUGAAAUUCGUAGAUAUUGGGAAGAACACCGGUGGCGGAGGCGGCGACCUGGUCCGAUACUGACGCUGAGGCGCGAAAGCGUGGGGAGCAAACAGG
rnacentral:rRNA from 1 species